rnacentral:ncRNA from 1 species
AAUUUUCGAAAAAUUGGAGACGCUGCGGACUAGCUUUCAGAUUCAGGGAAACUUAGGUUGAAAAAAAUAUAAGCUAUCCUGAGCCAAAUUUUAUAUUUUAAAAAUAAGAUAGGUGCAGAGACUCGAUGGAAGCUAUCCUAACGCAAAAAAUUUUAAGAGUUAUUUAAUUGAAUUCUCUAAGUUAAUGAAAAUAAAAAAAAAAAUUAUGAAUUUUUUUUUAACUAGCAAGCGAGGAUAAAGAUAGAGUCCAAUUUUACAUGUUAAUUUAGCCACAAUUAAAUUGAGAAAAAGAAAUCCGUUGGCUUAUUACCGUGAGGGUUCAGUCCCUCACCCCC